rnacentral:rRNA from 1 species
GAUAUACUGACGCUCAGACACGAAAGCGUGGGGAGAUAAACAGGAUUAGAUACCCUGGUAGUCCACGCCCUAAACGAUGUCAACUAGCUGUUGGGGCCGUUAGGCCUUAGUAGCGCAGCUAACGCGUGAAGUUGACCGCCUGGGGAGUACGGUCGCAAGAUUAAAACUCAAAGGAAUUGACGGGGACCCGCACAAGCGGUGGAUGAUGUGGAUUAAUUCGAUGCAACGCGAAAAACCUUACCUACCCUUGACAUGUCUGGAAAGCCGAAGAGAUUUGGCCGUGCUCGCAAGAGAACCGGAACACAGGUGCUGCAUGGCUGUCGUCAGCUCGUGUCGUGAGAUGUUGGGUUAAGUCCCGCAACGAGCGCAACCCUUGUCAUUAGUUGCUACGCAAGAGCACUCUAAUGAGACUGCCGGUGACAAACCGGAGGAAGGUGGGGAUGACGUCAAGUCCUCAUGGCCCUUAUGGGUAGGGCUUCACACGUCAUACAAUGGUCGGGACAGAGGGUCGCCAACCCGCGAGGGGGAGCCAAUCUCAGAAACCCGAUCGUAGUCCGGAUCGCAGUCUGCAACUCGACUGCGUGAAGUCGGAAUCGCUAGUAAUCGCGGAUCAGAAUGUCGCGGUGAAUACGUUCCCGGGUCUUGUACACACCGCCCGUCACACCAUGGGAGUGGGUUUCACCAGAAGUAGGUAGCCUAACCGUAAGG